rnacentral:rRNA from 1 species
CAAUGGGAAGUACAACGAGUUGCGAAGUCGCGAGGCUAAGCUAAUCUCUUAAAGCUUCUCUCAGUUCGGAUUGCAGGCUGCAACUCGCCUGCAUGAAGCCGGAAUCGCUAGUAAUCGCGGAUCAGCACGCCGCGGUGAAUACGUUCCCGGGCCUUGUACACACCGCCCGUCACACCACGAGAGUUUGUAACACCCGAAGUCGGUGAGGUAACCUUUUUGGAGCCAGCCGCCUAAGGUGGGAUAGAUGAUUGGGGUGAAGUCGUAACAAGGUAGCCGUAUCGGAAGGUGCGGCUGGAUCACCUCCUUUCUAAGGAA